AGAGUUUGAUCAUGGCUCAGAUUGAACGCUGGCGGCAGGCCUAACACAUGCAAGUCGAGCGGUAGCACAAGAGAGCUUGCUCUCUGGGUGACGAGCGGCGGACGGGUGAGUAAUGUCUGGGGAACUGCCUGAUGGAGGGGGAUAACUACUGGAAACGGUAGCUAAUACCGCAUAACGUCUUCGGACCAAAGUGGGGGACCUUCGGGCCUCACGCCAUCAGAUGUGCCCAGAUGGGAUUAGCUAGUAGGUGGGGUAAUGGCUCACCUAGGCGACGAUCCCUAGCUGGUCUGAGAGGAUGACCAGCCACACUGGAACUGUGACACGGUCCAGACUCCUACGGGAGGCAGCAGUGGGGAAUAUUGCACAAUGGGCGCAAGCCUGAUGCAGCCAUGCCGCGUGUGUGAAGAAGGCCUUCGGGUUGUAAAGCACUUUCAGCGAGGAGGAAGGGUAGUGUGUUAAUAGCACAUUGCAUUGACGUUACUCGCAGAAGAAGCACCGGCUAACUCCGUGCCAGCAGCCGCGGUAAUACGGAGGGUGCAAGCGUUAAUCGGAAUUACUGGGCGUAAAGCGCGCGCAGGCGGUUUGUUAAGUCAGAUGUGAAAUCCCCGCGCUUAACGUGGGAACUGCAUUUGAAACUGGCAAGCUAGAGUCUUGUAGAGGGGGGUAGAAUUCCAGGUGUAGCGGUGAAAUGCGUAGAGAUCUGGAGGAAUACCGGUGGCGAAGGCGGCCCCCUGGACAAAGACUGACGCUCAGGUGCGAAAGCGUGGGGAGCAAACAGGAUUAGAUACCCCGGUAGUCC
rnacentral:rRNA from 1 species